UUCCCCUGGCUGCUGUAUCUAAAGUAGGCUCUCCCUACGUCCCAGUCACUCUCUUUCCCAAGUCUUAGUGUCUUUUCCAGCUCUUAUUACCAUCCGAAGGUACGUUCUGUCUUUCCCUACUACCGUAGGGAGAACAUGGCCAAUUCUGUUCGCUGCUGGAGUCUGGAGCCUGGCACGCACUAGGCGCUCAGAAAGCCUUUGUUGAAUGAAUGAAUCAGUUCAGGCAUUCUUUUCUUGUUGCACCCUACAUGGAGGCCUGUCUCACAAACCUAAACCCAUGGCUGCUGGCUCCAGUUAACCACAGGUCCUGCCAUUGCUGUUAUAACUGCUCUUCCAUCUAUGAAAGUCAAGGGUGCCUGCCUUUUGUAUUUAUAAAGCAAAGCUUAAGAAAAAUUGUCAGAUUUAGUUCCAGUUAUGAAUUAGGCUGAGGUCCAAGAUGAUUCAUAUUUUAACUAAAACCUGUUUGCUUGAGCUUCUUCUGUUUCCUCUGACAUAAGAUUGAUUGUGGUGGGAAAAGGAAAGUGGGGGCACAUGUGUUCAGGUUACUUUUCAUAGCAGAUCAACCACUUCUCAGUUGAAAUCCAGCAUCUGUCUUAGUCAGCUUGGGCUGCUAUGACAAAAUACUGUAGACUGGUGGCUUAAAUAACAAUUUAUUUCUCACAGGUUCUGGAGGCCGGAAGUCCAAGAUCAAGGUGUUGCAGACGUGGUUCCUGGUGAGAGCUGUCUUCUUGGCUUGCAGAUGGCCACCUUCUUGCUGUGUCCUCACAUGGCGGAGAGAGAAAGAACACUAGAUUAUCCUCCUCCUCUUACAAGAAGAAAGGCCACGUGGGGACACAGUGAGAGGUGGUCGUCUACAAACCAGGAAGAGAGCUCUCACCAGAAACCAACUCUGACGGCACCUUGAUCUUGGACUUCUAGCCUCCAGGACUGUGAGAAAAUAAAUGUCUGCUGUUUAAGCCCCCCAGACUGUGGCAUUUUGUUAUGGCCCCCCAAGCCGACUAAUGCAUCAUCCUUCCAGCAUUCUUACAGCUCCCCUUCACUGCUCGCUCCUCCUAGGUGCCCAGGACUUGCCUGCUUCCAUCUCUUUGCUCUGGAAUCCUCUUAGGAUGGCUUUUCUCUCUGUUGCUGAUGUCAAAAUCUCAGUAGCAUCUUUGCAGAUGUAAUUAAUUAAGGAUAUUGACGUGAAAUCAUCUGGAUUCAGAGUGGGCCCUAAAUCCAAUGACAAGUGGAUAAGAAGAGAGGACUCCAAGGUGCAGGGAGAAGACCAUGUGAAGAUGGAGGCAGACAUUGGAGUUAUGCUGCCACAAACCAAGGAACACCAGGAGACACAGGAGCUGGAACAGGCAAGGCGGGAUUCUCCUCUAGGACUUUCAGAGGGAAUGUGGCCCUCAUGACACCAGUUUUGGCAUUUUGGCCCCCAGAACUGUGAGAGAAUGAAUUCCUGCUGUUUUAAGCCACUGAGUUUGUGGUAAUUUUUCACGGCAGCCCCGGAAAGCUGACACACCUUCUCUGAUCCUUCCAGGGCAAAGUUCCCAGGGACCCUGUGCCUCCUUCCUUAGCCUUCCUCCUCCUGGGAUAUCUUAUUUAAGUGCAUCCCACCAUUUCAUCAAGACUGGCUUCUGGAGGGGAAAAUCUUUGAGCCAACAAAGUGCUCACCACAGAGCCUUGGAUGUUGCACUGUUUGUGGUCCACAAAAAUGUCAGUGCUGGACUGUCAAAUUUCCUAAAGGAAAUAAUAUUAACUCUGCCCAGGACAAAAAUCUUGGAGUGAUGACACCUGCAUGUGAGAUAUCCAGAUUCAUUUACAUGGAGGCACGUAGAUGAGAACGAGAAUUUCCUAUAUAAUUGAUUUGGUGGUAGUUUAUCGAUAUUUUAUGAGGAACAUUAUUGUGUGGAAGAAGGAGCGCCAGACUGGGAAUUUAGAACUCUGUUGGUUGGGGUUUGAGUCAAGGUCUUGCUUAUUCCUGGCUGUGAGACCUUGCAAGUCACUCUUUGAGGCUCAGGGUCAGCAUUAGCAAAAGGAGGGUAAAACUGCCAAUGCUGCCUGCCUCAUGGGGGUGUUAUGAAACUUCUAGGAGGCAGGUUAUGAGAGAGGGCUCUGGAAGCUGCAAAGCCUCUAAGUGUGAGCUGGGUUGACCAUCAUCAAGGUGGCCUUGUGGAAUCCUGGUCAUAGUCACAGAGCCACAGGAUUUAGAUCCAUAAGGGAAUUAAGGGAUCGUGGAGUGAACAUCCUAAUUUCCUAUGAGGAAACUGAGGCCAAAAGAAGUUGUUACUUCUCCAUCUGGUUUGAACCAAGGGGACCCACAGUGGGAGCCUGUGCCCCGCCUCUCUGAGCUGAGAUGCUGCGUGUACACAGCAAAGGGCCACAGGGAGAAAGAGAUUGCAGAGCUUCUGCCUUUGCAGAAACGAACCAAACUGAGCUCAUCUGAUGGAAUGGAUAGUUAGAACGAGCGUCUGACCAUCCCCAGAAACACAAGCAGAACUUUGUAAAUAAUGUUAAACUCAUUUCAUGAAAUGAUUCUUUGGAAUGUAUUUUGAAGAGGAUGAUAAAAACUUUGACAAUCGUGGUCUGGUCAGGGCCCCAUUUACAGUGGCAUCUAUUUAGGGCUGUGGUUAUAGGGUGAUGUUAUGCCCUAGAUGAUUUGACAGACAUUUAAGGCAAACAGAUUAGGUGGAGCGGCCCCGAGAAGUUACCGGCAAGUCAGCAGCUCUCAAAUGAAAGAGUCAAAUGAAUAAUGUGAUGUCGAGACUGACAGCCUCGUUCUUGAACCUGAGACUCUGAAAAUGCUAAUUCUGGUAAUCCCAGCUGCUUGCUGAGGAAGGAAGGAGAGAAACAUGUUACAAGGCGCUGGGGAUGCAAGUGGCCUGAUAACUUUAAAAUGUCCUUUACCGUGAGCAAGAUUGCAGGGUUGGUUACGUGAAAGAAGACUGUAUUUGUUAAGGAAAUGAGAAAUAUGGUUGUGAAACGUGGAUAAUAAUAACACUUUCAGAUGGGAGCUUAUUUUAUUUUCUAGUAAAGAAAACAUUUUGUGGCGAGGGCCUGUGAUGGUGGCAAGGCAUGUGACUCAAAUUAAGCUUAUGCUUUGCUAGAUAGAUGAAGAGCUGCGUCUUUAAAUGACUUAAGGGGACUUUUCAGGCAACUCAGCACUUGGCAAACAUAAUUCUGACGAGCAGGAGCAGGUGGGUGGCUCAGGCGUCUCAACCUUGAGGAGAUGACCCCAAGUGACUUUGUUUUUUCCUGAUAGUUGCAAGAUAAAAUAAGGGUCCAUUAAAGAAACUGGGAAAGGUACAUUCGUUGUUCAGGUGGAAGGGAGAGGAAUGUGUGACAGACAAAUAGAAACAGGUGUAACAAAAGCACAACAUGACAGAAGCCCUGGGGAGCCUGCUGGCAAGAAGUCCCCAGGGUUGGUGGUAACUUGUGAGAGCAGUUUCUGUUUGGUACAAAGAAAUUACACUCAACCAGCAAUGGCGCUCACACAAGCGUGCAGACUCUUGUGACUUCUGAGUGGGAGAUCUCUCUCCUGUUUUUCUACCCUUGGGAGCGAGACCUCAAUGCUGUGGGAAAACACCUCCAUGCAUGAGGCGUUAGUGCCUUUCCAGAGCUUUGAGAGGCUUUAAAUGCUUUGAAAACUGUGUCACUUUUCUGAAAUUGUUUCAAAUUAUGAGCACUUUGACACUAUCUUUCACUUAUUCUAAUGAUUCUAUUUUCUUCCUUAUUCCCCUCCCUCUUCUGCUUCCUCUCCUCUCUUUCCCUCCCCGUCUGGGUAAGGUUUCUGGCAGCUGGCUUGUUUGCCAGGAAAAAGACAACUGCUUGCGAAGGAGAAAACGCUUUCCUGCUCGCUCGGCUGCGCUGGGAUCCUGCACCCCUGGCUAGGAUAGAAAGCUGUGGGCUGUCUAUGGGUUCCUGUGGUUUUGGAAAGAGAAUCCCACUCUUUGUGUCCAUCUUGUAAGAAUGUGGGCAAAUUCAGGGGUCUCAGGAAAGAUUCUGAAAUCUUUGAAGUUGAUAGUCUGUCUUUCUAAAAGUUCUCUGGUGGGUUAAUCAUUUACUUAGCGUUUUGGACUUGGGAGCACAUGUUUACGGGGACAGAGCAUGCUGUCUUGCUUGGCUUCUCAGAAAACACUGUGGAUGCAGUUUGGAACGUCUGCAAGAUGCUGGGCGAAUCCAUAAUGUUAUAUUGAAUAGGAUUAGAGUGGCAUGUUUCAUUUUGGUUUUGUUUGGCAUAAAAAUUCUAUCAGAUUCUCUUAUGUUCAAAUCUCUCACUAAAUUCAUGUGAGUUUUGCAAAUCUACAUGUUAAUAUGUCCACACACACAUUUGUUUUAAAAAAUGGUGACUUCUAUUCAAUUUAUGCUGUUCCUUAUUCUUUCACAAUAUCACCUUUUCCCAUUGUUACUGUCUUAUAUAUUUCCAUGAGUCUGUCUAACCUGAGGUGGAAAAUCAACAGUAAUUAUUUAUAUAACAUGAGACCCCAAAAGACUUACACAUGAAAGUCACAUAAUGAUUUAAAAAUUGUUGUUUCAGCUCUUUCAACCUUUCAUUCCGUAUUUAUUUCACUUUCCCCCAUGCACACACAUACGCACACAUAUAAAUAUUAUGUAUAAUAUUUUUCUAAACCUUGAUCACUUGAUUAAGGUGGUUGCCAGGCUUCUCCACUAAAAAGUACUACUUUUCUCUUUGUACUUAGUAAACCAUUUGUGAGAAGAUGCUUUAUGACUGUGUAAACAUCUUGUUUCUCAUUAAAUUUUCACCCACUAAUGUUGGCAUCCACUGAUGAUUUCCUAACUCCAUCAUCGCCAAGUAAUAACUGGAGAAGAAAUAAUGGAGAUAGAAAAUUAAAACUUUUUAUUAAAAAAAAUGAUCUGUGACACUCCCUUUACUAUUCUACAAUGUAUUUUAUAGGUGAUAUAACCUGUCUACACGUAUCUUUAACUGUAAUAAACAGAAGAAAUG
rnacentral:lncRNA from 1 species